UGGGGAAUUUUGGACAAUGGGCGCAAGCCUGAUCCAGCCAUGCCGCGUGCGGGAAGAAGGCCUUCGGGUUGUAAACCGCUUUUGUACGGAACGAAACGGUCUUUUUUAAUACAAGGGGCUAAUGACGGUACCGUAAGAAUAAGCACCGGCUAACUACGUGCCAGCAGCCGCGGUAAUACGUAGGGUGCGAGCGUUAAUCGGAAUUACUGGGCGUAAAGCGUGCGCAGGCGGUUAUAUAAGACAGUUGUGAAAUCCCCGGGCUCAACCUGGGAAUUGCAUCUGUGACUGUAUAGCUAGAGUACGGUAGAGGGGGAUGGAAUUCCGCGUGUAGCAGUGAAAUGCGUAGAUAUGCGGAGGAACACCGAUGGCGAAGGCAAUCCCCUGGACCUGUACUGACGCUCAUGCACGAAAGCGUGGGGAGCAAACA
rnacentral:rRNA from 1 species